rnacentral:rRNA from 1 species
GACGAACGCUGUCGGCGUGCUUAACACAUGCAAGUCGAACGGAAAGGCCCUGCUUUUGUGGGGUGCUCGAGUGGCGAACGGGUGAGUAACACGUGAGUAACCUGCCCUUGACUUUGGGUUAACUUCAGGAAACUGGGGCUAAUACCGGAUAGGAGCUCCUGCUGCAUGGUGGGGGUUGGAAAGUUUCGGCGGUUGGGGAUGGACUCGCGGCUUAUCAGCUUGUUGGUGGGGUAGUGGCUUACCAAGGCUUUGACGGGUAGCCGGCCUGAGAGGGUGACCGGCCACAUUGGGACUGAGAUACGGCCCAGACUCCUACGGGAGGCAGCAGUGGGGAAUAUUGCACAAUGGGCGGAAGCCUGAUGCAGCAACGCCGCGUGCGGGAUGACGGCCUUCGGGUUGUAAACCGCUUUCGCCUGUGACGAAGCGUGAGUGACGGUAAUGGGUAAAGAAGCACCGGCUAACUACGUGCCAGCAGCCGCGGUGAUACGUAGGGUGCGAGCGUUGUCCGGAUUUAUUGGGCGUAAAGGGCUCGUAGGUGGUUGAUCGCGUCGGAAGUGUAAUCUUGGGGCUUAACCCUGAGCGUGCUUUCGAUACGGGUUGACUUGAGGAGGGUAGGGGAGAAUGGAAUUCCUGGUGGAGCGGUGGAAUGCGCAGAUAUCAGGAGGAACACCAGUGGCGAAGGCGGUUCUCUGGGCCUUUCCUGACGCUGAGGAGCGAAAGCGUGGGGAGCGAACAGGCUUAGAUACCCUGGUAGUCCACGCUGUAAACGGUGGGUACUAGGUGUGGGGUCCAUUCCACGGGUUCCGUGCCGUAGCUAACGCUUUAAGUACCCCGCCUGGGGAGUACGGCCGCAAGGCUAAAACUCAAAGGAAUUGACGGGGCCCCGCACAAGCGGCGGAGCAUGCGGAUUAAUUCGAUGCAACGCGUAGAACCUUACCUGGGUUUGACAUGGAUCGGGAGUGCUCAGAGAUGGGUGUGCCUCUUUUGGGGUCGGUUCACAGGUGGUGCAUGGCUGUCGUCAGCUCGUGUCGUGAGAUGUUGGGUUAAGUCCCGCAACGAGCGCAACCCUUGUUCACUGUUGCCAGCACGUUAUGGUGGGGACUCAGUGGAGACCGCCGGGGUCAACUCGGAGGAAGGUGGGGAUGACGUCAAGUCAUCAUGCCCCUUAUGUCCAGGGCUUCACGCAUGCUACAAUGGCUGGUACAGAGAGUGGCGAGCCUGUGAGGGUGAGCGAAUCUCGGAAAGCCGGUCUCAGUUCGGAUUGGGGUCUGCAACUCGACCUCAUGAAGUCGGAGUCGCUAGUAAUCGCAGAUCAGCAACGCUGCGGUGAAUACGUUCCCGGG